rnacentral:rRNA from 1 species
CUGCUUGGGAAACUGAUAAUCUAGAGUGAGGGAGAGGCAGAUGGAAUUGGUGGUGUAGGGGUAAAAUCCGUAGAGAUCACCAGGAAUACCCAUUGCGAAGGCGAUCUGCUGGAACUCAACUGACGCUAAUGCGUGAAAGCGUGGGGAGCAAACAGGAUUAGAUACCCUGGUAGUCCACGCCCUAAACGAUGUAUACUAGUUGUUGCUAAGCUAGUCUUGGCAGUAAUGCACCUAACGGAUUAAGUAUACCGCCUGGGGAGUACGGUCGCAAGAUUAAAACUCAAAGGAAUAGACGGGGACCCGCACAAGCGGUGGAGCAUGUGGUUUAAUUCGAAGAUACGCGAAGAACCUUACCCGGACUUGAUAUCUAACAAAUCAUCUAGAGAUAGAAGAGUGUCUGCUUGCAGAAAUGUUAAGACAGGUGCUGCACGGCUGUCGUCAGCUCGUGUCGUGAGAUGUUGGGUUAAGUCCCGCAACGAGCGCAACCCACGUCAUUAGUUGCUAACAGUUCGGCUGAGCACUCUAAUGAGACUGCCUUCGUAAGGAGGAGGAAGGUGUGGACGACGUCAAGUCAUCAUGGCCCUUAUGUCCGGGGCGACACACGUGCUACAAUGGCAUAUACAAUGAGAAGCAAUAUCGCGAGAUGGAGCAAAUCUAUAAAAUAUGUCCCAGUUCGGAUUGGAGUCUGCAACUCGACUCCAUGAAGCCGGAAUCGCUAGUAAUCGUAGAUCAGCCAUGCUACGGUGAAUACGUUCCCGGGUCUUGUACUCACCGCCCGUCACACCAUGGGAGUUGAUUUCACUCGAAGCCGGAAUACUAAAUUAGUUACCGUCCACAGUGGAAUCAGCGACUGGGGUGAAGUCGUAACAAGGUAACCGUAGGGGAACCUGCGGUUG